rnacentral:rRNA from 1 species
GAUGAACGCUGGCGGCGUGCCUAAUACAUGCAAGUCGAGCGAACAGACGAGGAGCUUGCUCCUCUGACGUUAGCGGCGGACGGGUGAGUAACACAUGGAUAACCUACCUAUAAGACUGGGAUAACUUCGGGAAACCGGAGCUAAUACCGGAUAAUAUAUUGAACCGCAUGGUUCAAUAGUGAAAGACGGUUUUGCUGUCACUUAUAGAUGGAUCCGCGCCGCAUUAGCUAGUUGGUAAGGUAACGGCUUACCAAGGCGACGAUGCGUAGCCGACCUGAGAGGGUGAUCGGCCACACUGGAACUGAGACACGGUCCAGACUCCUACGGGAGGCAGCAGUAGGGAAUCUUCCGCAAUGGGCGAAAGCCUGACGGAGCAACGCCGCGUGAGUGAUGAAGGUCUUCGGAUCGUAAAACUCUGUUAUUAGGGAAGAACAAGUGUGUAAGUAACUAUGCACGUCUUGACGGUACCUAAUCAGAAAGCCACGGCUAACUACGUG